rnacentral:rRNA from 1 species
AUUGAACGCUGGCGGCAGGCCUAACACAUGCAAGUCGAGCGAGAAAGCCCUUCGGGGUGAGUACAGCGGCGGACGGGUGAGUAACGCGUAGGAAUCUACCCAGUAGUGGGGGACAACAGUCGGAAACGGCUGCUAAUACCGCAUACGCCCUAUGGGGGAAAGCGGGGGACCUUCGGGCCUCGCGCUAUUGGAUGAGCCUGCGUCGGAUUAGCUAGUUGGUGGGGUAAAGGCCUACCAAGGCGACGAUCCGUAGCUGGUCUGAGAGGAUGAUCAGCCACACUGGGACUGAGACACGGCCCAGACUCCUACGGGAGGCAGCAGUGGGGAAUAUUGCGCAAUGGGGGCAACCCUGACGCAGCCAUGCCGCGUGUGUGAAGAAGGCCCUAGGGUUGUAAAGCACUUUCAAAAGCGAGGAAAAGCUGAUGCUUAAUACGUAUCAGCCGUGACGUUAACUUUAGAAGAAGCACCGGCUAACUCCGUGCCAGCCGCCGCAGUAACAC